CAUAAAAACACGAAGUAUAGAUAAAUUGUAGCAUACGUGUAAGUUGAUAUUAAGUUAACUGUCUGUGUUUUUACCUCAGGUAAACUCAGCAAGCUUUCAAAGUUACUUCAGAUGCUGGCGAUAAGUCUUGAGGUCUGAACAAUUUUACAGGACACCACCAUCGCUAAAAGCAAAGCGGCUCAAUUCUUUAAUGGAGAACAGCAGAGAUGUUGCACAGUAAGGGCAAGAACGCAGUACAAAGACACAAGAAAGUAUGUAAAACUAAAAAAAAAACAUUUAUUUUUAAAACCGAGCUGACUUAAACCACUAUAAUUUAUGACACUUGCAUUACAUGUGAACAGCCCCUACGCUAAUAGGAUUCUGUUUCUCUCUCCCUGUCUCGUCCUCGACCCGAGGACAAUGAGACAAACAGAGACACCAGUUCCUGCUGCUGUGAAGGUCAUCACACCACUGAUCUACUGACCGUCCUUCUACGAGAUGCCCACCCAAUGCCUGACCAGCAACCACCGGCGGAACCAGUUUAAUUCGCUUACCCGUUCACAUACCCCGAUAGUAUUUAUAUAUAUAAAUAUAUAUGUAUCUCUCU